AAAAAGGGCUUCUGCCGUGAGUGGCACAUGUAGGGCAAUUCAAUAGCUCUUCGUGCGGAAUCGACAUCAAGAGAUUUUGGAAGCAUAACUUUUUGGCACCUGGACUG
rnacentral:snRNA from 1 species